UUAGGUCUUGGCAAAACCCCUGAGGGACCUUCAGGGGUCAGAUUGUUGCUUGUUAAAAAUGGAGCAGGCUUCUAGUAUUUGAAGGGUCAGUGGGGGGAAGGAUACUGUCUUCAAAUGCUUGCAGAUUGUAAGAUUUGGUUUGUGAUAAAUUUUUUUGUAUUUUGUUUACAUCUCCUCUUAUAUGCCCUAAGAACAAAAAUAAAGUUUUUUGACCAUUUUGUGUCCCAGAUGUUUUUCCUGCCAUUGCAUUUGUGUGUGGUUGAACUCACUGUACUCAUGGAAGGACAAAUUCUGCAAUACACUUGUAUAAUGGCAAAACCUGGUCUGUUUCAGACCAAUAGACUGCAAGUUGGCUUGUGAUAUUGACAGUCCCAGCAGUUGGGUGAUGUGACAUAGCAGCUAUUCUUUUUGUCAUCUUCCUGUGUUCUAACUACAGCACCCACGAAGUACCUGGUCCAUGAUGAGUUAAUGCAAAUAAUUACUGGCAACAGCCCUGCAGUGGGAGGCAGAAAGACCUCAGCCCCCCGAUUCAGUCUUUCCAGUUGUGACUUGCCUGAUUUUUCUCAAUAGCGUGUCUAUUUUGAUGUGGACUGGAACUUCCCUUUGCGUUGCCUGAUUUGUUUGAGAGCUCUCUUGCUGGGGGGUCAGCUCUAACAGCAAGAAGGUGAAGGUAAGUCAUGAGAGUUACAACUUGAAAACUGGGCCUAGCAUUUUUCCUAAGUGGGGUUGUGGUUUUUUUUGUUUGUUUUUAAUUCUUGUAACCAUCAGACCUCUGCAUUUCUAAGCAGGGCUGGUGCUUCUAUUCCCUAUCUGCUGCUCUUUCCCAUUCAGCAGCAGAGCAACAAGAUGUAUAUUCAUUAAUGGUAUGAAAGUGGAACCUGCUGCUUGAGUGAAUUCAGCUGGCCCCUCCCUACUUCAGGGUGUGGGUGCCAU